GACAGGGUGAGGGGCUUUACUCUACACGUCAGGGAUAGGAUCAGGACAACACUGAACACCAGGGAGGAGGUUUUACAAAAACCUACACAGCACACCAGGGAGGAGGAGGUUUUAGUAGAUAACAGAACACCAGGGAGGAGGAGGUUUUAGUAGAUAACAGAACACCAGGGAGGAGGAGGUUUUAGUAGAUAACAGAACACCAGGGAGGAGGAGGUUUUAGUAGAUAACAGAACACCAGGGGGGAGGAGGUUUUAGUAGAUAACAGAACACCAGGGAGGAGGAGGUUUUAGUAGAUAACAGAACACCAGGGAGGAGGAGGUUUUAGUAGAUAACAGAACACCAGGGAGGAGGAGGUUUUAGUAGAUAACAGAACACCAGGGAGGAGGAGGUUUUAGUAGAUAACAGAACACCAGGGAGGAGGAGGUUUUAGUAGAUAACAGAACACCAGGGAGGAGGAGGUUUUAGUAGAUAACAGAACACCAGGGAGGAAGAGGUUUUAGUAGAUAACAGAACACCAGGGAGGAGGAGGUUUUAGUAGAUAACAGAACACCAGGGGGUUUUAGUAGAUAACAGAACACCAGGGGGUUUUAGAAGAUAACAGAACACCAGGGGGUUUUAGAAGAUAACAGAACACCAGGGGGUUUUAGAAGAUAACAGAACACCAGGGGGUUUUAGAAGAUAACAGAACACCAGGGGGUUUUAGAAGAUAACAGAACACUGGAGGGGGGGGGGGUAGUAGAUAACAUAUUUAGAAAUUAAAGAUAAGAUCAUAUCCUUGAGUCUUCCAGGAUGGUAUCAGAGAACACAGCAUUACAGUACAAACACAGAUCAACUC